rnacentral:rRNA from 1 species
CGCGCAGGCGGUCGUUCAAGUCGCGUGUGAAAGCCCCCGGCUCAACUGGGGAGGGUCACGCGAUACUGGUCGACUCGAAGGCAGGAGAGGGUAGUGGAAUUCCCGGUGUAGUGGUGAAAUGCGUAGAUAUCGGGAGGAACACCAGUGGCGAAGGCGACUACCUGGCCUGUUCUUGACGCUGAGGCGCGAAAGCUAGGGAGCAAACG